rnacentral:rRNA from 1 species
UGGGGAAUAUUGCACAAUGGGGGAAACCCUGAUGCAGCGACGCCGCGUGAACGAAGAAGGUAUUCGUAUCGUAAAGUUCUGUCCUAUGGGAAGAUAAUGACAGUACCAUAGAAGAAAGCUCCGGCUAAAUACGUGCCAGCAGCCGCGGUAAUACGUAUGGAGCGAGCGUUGUCCGGAAUUAUUGGGCGUAAAGGGUACGCAGGCGGUUUAAUAGGUCGAAUGUUAAAGAUCGGGGCUCAACCCCGCAAAGCAUUGGAAACUGAUAAACUUGAGUAGUGGAGAGUAAAGUGGAAUUCCUAGUGUAGUGGUGAAAUACGUAGAUAUUAGGAGGAAUACCAGUAGCGAAGGCGACUUUCUGGACACAAACUGACGCUGAGGUACGAAAGCGUGGGGAGCAAACAGG